rnacentral:tRNA from 1 species
GGAGAGGUACCGAAGCGGUCAUAACGGGGCGGUCUUGAAAACCGUUAGAGUCUCACGGCUCACGUGGGUUCGAAUCCCACCCUCUCCGCCA